GACGAACGCUGGCGGCGUGCUUAACACAUGCAAGUCGAACGGUAAGGCCUUUCGGGGUCGUACGGGUGGCGAACGGGGGAGUAACACGUGAACAACCUACCCUUCACUUCGGAAUACGAACUGGAAACAGCUCCUAAUACCGGAUAUGACCCUGGUCCCCCUGGACUGGGGGGGAAAGCUCCGGCGGGCAGGGUUGGGCUCGCGGCCCAUCAGCUUGUUGGGGGGGUAAUGGCUCACCAAGGCUUCGACGGGUAGCCGGCCUGGGAGGGGGAGACGCCCCACUGGGGAUGAGAUACGCACCAGACUCCCAGGGGAGGGAGCGGUGGGGAAUAUUGCACAAUGGGCGCAAGCACGAUGCAGCGCAGCCGCGUGUGGGGUAACGGCCCUCGGGUUGUGAAACGCUUUUAGUAGGGAGGAAACCACAAGUGACGGUACCUACAGAAGAAGGACCGGCUAAGUACGUG
rnacentral:rRNA from 1 species